AUUUACAAUACUACCACAUUGGUUGUAAUCUUAUCUGAUCUCAUAAAAUAAGCUAAGCUGGGCCUCAUUGGUACUUGGAUGGCAAUCCUCCAAGGAACACCUAGGUGCUGUAAGUA
rnacentral:rRNA from 1 species